rfam:Salmo salar isolate Sally breed double haploid chromosome ssa09, whole genome shotgun sequence.
CUCCCUGUGGCUCAGUCGGUAGAGCAUGGUGUUUGCAACGCCAGCAUGGUGUGUGCAAUGCCAGGGUUGUGGGUUCGAUUCCCACGGGGGGC